CCCUUUGUACACACCGCCCGUCGCUACUACCGAUUGAAUGGCUCAGUGAGGCGUUCGGACUGGCUCGGGGAGGUUGGCAACGACCACCCCAAGCCGGAAAGUUCGUCAAACUCGGUCAUUUAGAGGAAGUAAAAGUCGUAACAAGGUCUCCGUAGGUGAACCUGCGGAGGGAUCAUUACACAAAUAAAUAUAUGAAGGCUGCCCGCCGCCGUGCGGAAGGCCGGAGUAUUUUUUAUUACCCUUGUCUUUUGCGCACUUGUUGUUUCCUGGGCGGGUUCGCCCGCCACCAGGACCACACCAUAAACCUUUUUUAUGCAGUUGCAAUCAGCGUCAGUAUGUAAAAAUAAUCAUUUACAACUUUCAACAACGGAUCUCUUGGUUCUGGCAUCGAUGAAGAACGCAGCGAAAUGCGAUACGUAGUGUGAAUUGCAGAAUUCAGUGAAUCAUCGAAUCUUUGAACGCACAUUGCGCCCUUUGGUAUUCCGAAGGGCAUGCCUGUUCGAGCGUCAUUUGUACCCUCAAGCUUUGCUUGGUGUUGGGCGUGUUUAUUGUCUUUGGCUUCGCCCAAAGACUCGCCUUAAAACGAUUGGCAGCCGGCCUACUGGUUUCGCAGCGCAGCACAUUUUUGCGCUUGCAAUCAGCAAAAGAGGACGGCACUCCAUCAAGACUUUUUUAUCACUUUGACCUCGGAUCAGUAG
rnacentral:sRNA from 1 species